AGGGUUUGAUCAUGGCUCAGGACGAACGCUGGCGGCAUGCUUAACACAUGCAAGUCGAACGAGAAAGCUUCUUCGGAAGUGAUUAAAGUGGCGCACGGGUGAGUAACGCGUAGACAAUCUGCCCUUCAGUCCGGGACAACUUUCCGAAAGGGGAGCUAAUACCGGAUAACAAUGUUUAACAUAAGUUGAAUAUUUGAAAGCUCCGGCGCUGAUGGAUGAGUCUGCGUCCCAUUAGCUUGUUGGUGCGGUAGUGGCGCACCAAGGCCACGAUGGGUAGCGGGUUUGAGAGGACGAUCCGCCACACUGGAACUGAGACACGGUCCAGACUCCUACGGGAGGCAGCAGUGGGGAAUAUUGCACAAUGGAGGAAACUCUGAUGCAGCAAUGCCGCGUGAGUGAAGAAGGCCCUUGGGUCGUAAAGCUCUUUUAUGGGGGAAGAUGAUGACGGUACCCCAGGAAUAAGCACCGGCUAACUACGUGCCAGCCGCCGCGGUAAUAC
rnacentral:rRNA from 1 species